rnacentral:tRNA from 1 species
CAAAGAAUAGUUUAAAUUAGAAUCCUAGCUUUGGGAGCUAGGGGUAGACUCCU